UACGGGGGGGGCAAGCGUUGUUCGGAAUUACUGGGCGUAAAGGGCUUGUAGGUGGCCAACUAAGUCAGACGUGAAAUCCCUCAGCUUAACUGGGGAACUGCGUCUGAUACUGGAUGGCUUGAGUUUGGGAGAGGGAAGCGGAAUUUCCGGUGUAGCGGUGAAAUGCGUAGAUAUCGGAAGGAACAUCAGUGGCGAAAGCGGCUUCCUGGUCCAGCACCGACGUUCAGGCACGAAAGCGUGGGGAGCAAACAGG
rnacentral:rRNA from 1 species